rnacentral:rRNA from 1 species
GACGAACCGUGCGAACGUUAUUCGGAAUCACUGGGCUUAAAGGGCGCGCAGGCGGCCCUUGAAGUCAGGCGUGAAAGCCCCGGGCUCAACCUGGGAGGUGCGCUUGAUACUCGAGGGCUUGAGUGCGGGAGAGGAGAGUGGAAUUCCCAGUGUAGAGGUGAAAUUCGUAGAUAUUGGGAAGAACACCGGUGGCGAAGGCGGCUCUCUGGACCGUAACUGACGCUGAGGCGCGAAAGCGUGGGGAGCAAACAGG